GACGAACGCUGGCGGCGUGCUUAACACAUGCAAGUCGAGCGGUAAGGCCCUUUCGGGGUACGACGAGCGGCGAACGGUGAGUAACACGUGGGUGACCUGCCCUCAGCUCUGGGAUAAGCCUGGGAAACCGGUCUAAUACUGGAUAUGACUCCAUGACGCAUGUUGUGGGGUGGAAAGCCUUGUGCGGCUGAGGAUGGGCCCGCGGCCUAUCAGCUUGUUGGUGGGGUGAUGGCCUACCAAGGCGACGACGGGUAGCCGGCCUGAGAGGGCGACCGGCCACACUGGGACUGAGACACGGCCCAGACUCCUACGGGAGGCAGCAGUGGGGAAUCUUGCGCAAUGGGCGAAAGCCUGACGCAGCGACGCCGCGUGAGGGA
rnacentral:rRNA from 1 species